rnacentral:lncRNA from 1 species
GCCGGGUGUGGUGGCACGCACCUGUAAUCCCAGCUGCUCAGGAGGCUGAGGGAGGAGAAUCGCUUGAACCUGGUAGACGGAGGUUGCAGUGAGCCGAGACCGUGCCAUGGCACUCUAGCCUAGGCGACAGAGCGAGACUCCGUCUCAAUAAAUAAAUAAAUAAAUAUCCUGUUGAUUCAUUCUUUUUCUUUUGAGAUGGAGUCUCACUCUGUCGCCUAGGCUGGAAUGCAGUGGCAUGAUCUCGGCUCGUUGCAACCUCCGCUUCCCUGGUUCAAGUGAUUCUCCUGC